rnacentral:lncRNA from 1 species
AAUGCCGGAUUUACUUUUACGCGAAGGAACAGCACCUGGCUGGACCACAUUUUUCUCGCUCUCCUUAGUCAUGGGAAGAUUGGAAACAAUAUUCUUUUGAUGAUCAGCGCGCUCAGCAGCGCAGCGUGCCUGCGUGCGUGCGUGGCUGCUGCAGUGGAGGAGGAGGACAAACUUUGCUACCUGUGCAACGAAGGCUGGUAGCAUUGGAAAUGAAAACAAUUCCAUCCACGACAUUGUUCCCAGGCUCCGUAAAUGAAUGCCUUGAUGACUUCACUGGGAAUUCCUCGUGGACAGGAAGGAGAAGGGGUCAUCUGAGUUCUCCUGAAGGUGGGAGUCAGGGCCAGACGUGCCCUGAGCAACCUGCCCAAGGUGCAGAAUGUCACCUGCUGCUGCUUCUGCUGCUGCAGUUCCAUGCCAAGGUUCAGGGUCUCGCCAGUCCUGAGCCUGAAAUGGAGCCCUGUCUUGGAAGAUUUCUUCUGGCUUCACGUGUGUCUGCUGUCCUGCAGGGCCGUGCCAGACAGAAGUCAGUUCCACAGCUGUCAGUGGGGGAAGAUUUGUAUUUCUCUUACUGGAGUGGGAGCGGACUCCUAUGGGAUGUCAAAGGUGAAUGUUGA